ensembl:lncRNA C8orf34-AS1 C8orf34 antisense RNA 1
CAACGGGACUGCCCUCCUCCACAGCGCCUUACCUCAAACAGGGGACCGAUCUUGUUCUUCUCCAGGAGCUGGCCAUAAAGGAAUUCUCUGACCUACCCUUGUCUGAUAAUAGGUCAUAAGACUCCUACUGUAGAGGGUUCUUGCUUCAUACCCAGGUGGAGGGAAUGCCACUGAGAGGCCAAGAAGAAUCUGGACAUGCCUUACUGGGUUUUCUCAUCUCAGUCUGCUGGAUCACACCCUUUUUUCCAAUGAAGUUUUUAUACAGCUAUUCAUUCUUCAUUCAACCUAAGCAUAAAAAUGGAUAUUUUUUCUUGUACCUUUGGAUCUUCAUUCCAAAGGCUUCCAUGUCACAUAAAACUUUAAGUUGGACACCUAAUUUGCACAUCAGGACUGCCAUGGACCAUGGUGCAAUGAAGGUGAAGACUGGAGCACUCAUCACCCACGGGUCUCACUUUGUUGCCCAGGCUGGAGUAUAGUGCCCUGAUCACAGCUUGCUGCAACCUCAAGCUCCCAUGCUCAAGCAAGCUUCCUGCCUCAACUUCCCAAGUAGCUGAGACCACAGGCAUGCUCCAUGACACCUGAACUCCUGAACUCAAGCGAUCCUCCUGCCUCAGCCUUCCAAAGUGCUGGGAUUACAGGCAUGAGCCCCUGAACCCUGCCUACCCUCUGUUUCUAUGUGGUGUUUGUCUUUCUAAGCCUGGCCUAUUUCGUGUAACAUAAUUUCCUCCAGAUUUAUCCAUAUUGUCUCAAAUGACCAGAUUUCUUUCUUUUUUAAGGCUGAAUAGUAUUCCAUUGUACAUAUAUACUACAUUUUAUUUAUCCAUUCAUCUGUUGAUGGACACUUAGGUUGAUUCCAUAUCUUGGCUAUUGUGAAUAAGCUGCAAUGAACAUAGGAGUGCAGAUACUGCUUUGACAUAUUCAUUUCAUUUUCUUUGGAUAUGUAUCCAGAAGUGGAAUUGGGCUGGAAUAUAGGCAGUUCUAUUUUUAAUAUUUUGAGGAAACUCCAUAUUACUUUCCAUAAUAGCUGUGCUAAUUUACAUUCCCACCGCCAAUGUAUAAGGGCUUCCUUUUCUCCACAUCCUCUCCAACACUGGUUAUCUCUUGUCUUUUUGAUAUGUUUUCUCUUCUCUGUAAAGCUAUUGGUUGUAGCAUUUUACUUUUUCCAAAUUUUUUUAAUCAAACUUUUGAAAUGUAUAGCUGAAAUGAAAGAAUUUUAGCAUGAAUGCUAAUAUACACUCAGCACCUAUAUUCUUGCUUUUUCAUGUAUUUACUCCUGAAUUAAUAUAUUACUUGUUAUAUGCUUUUGAAAGUAAACUGCAAACAAGUGCAUGCUUCUCCUAGAUCUUUCCACAUGCUCUGCCAUUAAUUAGAGUUCAAUGUUCAAUUUUUUCCUUUUGAUGUACAAUUAAUACACAAUUAAUUUACACACACAUUUUACUUAGUUCUGAAAAAUGUAUAUACUUUUAUAACUCAAAGCCCAUCAUUAUACAACAUUACUAUCACCCUAGCAAAAUCUUUUGUGUCCCUUCUCAAUCACCAAUCCUGACCACACCCCAAGAAAACUACUGUUCAAAUUUUUCUCCAUCAUUGAUUGGCUUUGUCUGUUUUAGAACUUCAUAAAACUAAAAUACUGUAGUAAAUUAUGUACAAUUUUAUGACUAGCUUCCUUUGCUCAAUAUAAUGUUUUCGAGAUUUAUUCAUAUUGCUGCAUGUCAGUAGUUGGUUCUUUUUAUUGC